UUGGUCUUUUUUUAACGUUGGGUAACACAUUACAUCAUCAUGUAAUCUCUAAAUCUAUUACAUAAGAUGAUCAACUACCUGCAACAUAUGCGAUAUUGAUGAACAGCUUCACGAAUAAUGAUUCCACGAUGAAGCUCUCUCUGAAACACUUGAAACCACAGACGGCUCUGCAUGUACGACAUCCUCGAUGGACAGGCUCUCACCGCAACAGGCGAUCAGAACGAACGGCUCUGCUUACAUUACUCUGGAACCUCCGAAAGCUUCGCAUCCUAUAAUCUGCAAGAAAUUGCAUAAUCUAGGAUUCGAACCCCAAGCAUGGGUGUAGAAGACUUUAAA
rnacentral:lncRNA from 1 species